rnacentral:rRNA from 1 species
UACGUGGGGUGCAAGCGUUAAUCGGAAUUACUGGGCGUAAAGCGUGCGCAGGCGGUUGUGCAAGACAGAUGUGAAAUCCCCGGGCUUAACCUGGGAAUUGCAUUUGUGACUGCACGGCUAGAGUGUGUCAGAGGGGGGUAGAAUUCCACGUGUGAGCAGUGAAAUGCGUAGAUAUGUGGAGGAAUACCGAUGGCGAAGGCAGCCCCCUGGGAUAACACUGA